ACGUAGGAGGCGAGCGUUAUCCGGAUUUACUGGGCGUAAAGCGUGCGCAGGCGGUUUCGUAAGGCAGAUGUGAAAUCCCCGGGCUUAACCUGGGAACUGCGUUUGUGACUGCGAGACUUGAGUGCGGCAGAGGGGGGUGGAAUUCCACGUGUAGCAGUGAAAUGCGUAGAGAUGUGGAGGAACACCGAUGGCGAAGGCAGCCCCCUGGGUCGACACUGACGCUCAGGUACGAAAGCGUGGGGAGCAAACAG
rnacentral:rRNA from 1 species